AGAGUUUGAUCCUGGCUCAGGAUGAACGCUGGCGGCGUGCUUAACACAUGCAAGUCGAGCGAAGCAGUUAAGUUGAUUUCUUCGGAUUGAUUCUUGACUGACUGAGCGGCGGACGGGUGAGUAACGCGUGGGUGACCUGCCCCAUACCGGGGGAUAACAGCUGGAAACGACUGCUAAUACCGCAUAAGCGCACAGUGCUGCAUGGCACAGUGUGAAAAACUCCGGUGGUAUGAGAUGGACCCGCGUCUGAUUAGCUAGUUGGUGGGGUAACGGCCUACCAAGGCGACGAUCAGUAGCCGGCCUGAGAGGGUGAACGGCCACAUUGGGACUGAGACACGGCCCAAACUCCUACGGGAGGCAGCAGUGGGGAAUAUUGCACAAUGGGGGAAACCCUGAUGCAGCGACGCCGCGUGAGCGAAGAAGUAUUUCGGUAUGUAAAGCUCUAUCAGCAGGGAAGAAAAUGACGGUACCUGACUAAGAAGCACCGGCUAAAUACGUGCCAGCAGCCGCGGUAAUACGUAUGGUGCAAGCGUUAUCCGGAUUUACUGGGUGUAAAGGGAGCGUAGACGGUUGUGUAAGUCUGAUGUGAAAGCCCGGGGCUCAACCCCGGGACUGCAUUGGAAACUAUGUAACUAGAGUGUCGGAGAGGUAAGCGGAAUUCCUAGUGUAGCGGUGAAAUGCGUAGAUAUUAGGAGGAACACCAGUGGCGAAGGCGGCUUACUGGACGAUCACUGACGUUGAGGCUCGAAAGCGUGGGCCUCAAAAGGGAUUAGAUACCCGGGUAGUCCACUGCCGUAAACGCCUAGAAGGUAGGUGUCGGGGAGCAAAGCUCUUACGGUGCCGCAGCAAACGCAAUCACUAGUCCACCUGGGGGAGUACGUUUGCAAGAAUGUAACUCAAAGGAAUUGACGGGGACCCGCACAAGCGGUGGAGCAUGUGGUUUAAUUCGAAGCAACGCGAAAGAACCUUACCCAAGUCUUGACAUCCUUCUGACCGGUACUUAGCCGUACCUUCUCUUCGGAGCAGGAGUGACAGGUGGUGCAUGGUUGUCGUCAGCUCGUGUCGUGAGAUGUUGGGUUAAGUCCCGCAACGAGCGCAACCCCUAUCUUCAGUAGCCAGCAGGUAAGGCUGGGCACUCUGGAGAGACUGCCUGGGAUAACCUGGAGGGAGGUGGGGACGACGUCAAAUCAUCAUGCCCCUUAUGAUCUGGGCGACACACGUGCUACAAUGGCGGUCACAGAGUGAGGCGAACCCGCGAGGGGGAGCAAACCACAAAAAGGCCGUCCCAGUUCGGACUGUAGUCUGCAACCCGACUACACGAAGCUGGAAUCGCUAGUAAUCGCGAAUCAGAAUGUCGCGGUGAAUACGUUCCCGGGUCUUGUACACACCGCCCGUCA
rnacentral:rRNA from 1 species